rnacentral:tmRNA from 1 species
GGGGGUGACUGGCUUCGACAGGAAAUUCAAUGUGCCUGUGUGCGAUGCAGGAAGAGGAUGACCUUCCUCGCCCUUCCGUAGCCUUGUGCGAAGGAGGGCCAUAAAAACAUUCAAAUCUAAGUGCAAACAAAACUGCACGGGGGGUUCUCUCACCGAUUCAGGCGGGGAAUCUCGGCUUCGCCUUCGCUUAAACGCGUCCGGCGACCGUUCGCUCGGUUGACAUCCGAUACACCAGAGCGAGCGUCAUAACAUUCGGAUUCGAUCUUUCCUUCACUCCGGGGAAAGACUAAAGAAAGAGAGUUCGGCAAAACGUCAUCUUGUGCAUUCCCUACUCGUUCUGCCUAAAACAAAAAGAAUGCUCUACGCAUCGUAGAAUCGCUUUCACAUCAUUUUCUGGACUCGGGUCCGAUACCCGACACCUCCACUG